rnacentral:rRNA from 1 species
GUAGGGGGCGAGCGUUGCUCGGAUUUACUGGGCGUAAAGAGCGCGUAGGCGGCCAGGUAAGUCCGGUGUGAAAUCCCUCGGCUCAACCGAGGACCCGCAUCGGAAACUACUUGGCUUGAGUCCAGGUGAGGAGGGUGGAAUUCCCGGUGUAGCGGUGAAAUGCGUAGAGAUCGGGAGGAACACCUGUGGCGAAGGCGGCCCUCUGGACUGGUACUGACGCUGAGGCGCGAAAGCUGGGGGAGCGAACGGGAUUAGAUACCCCGGGUAGUCCCAGCCGUAAACGAUGGGCACUAGGUGUGGGAGGUAUUGACCCCCUUCCGUGCCCGCAGCUAACGCAUUAAGUGCCCCGCCUGGGGAGUACGGCCGCAAGGUUG